CCUACGGGAGGCAGCAGUGGGGAAUAUUGCGCAAUGGGCGAAAGCCUGACGCAGCGACGCCGCGUGAGGGAUGAAGGUCUUCGGAUCGUAAACCUCUGUCAGCAGGGAAGAACGGUCACUGUGCUAAUCAGCAGUGAAUUGACGGUACCUGCAAAGGAAGCACCGGCUAACUCCGUGCCAGCAGCCGCGGUAAUACGGAGGGGGCGAGCGUUAAUCGGAAUUACUGGGCGUAAGGCGCUCGUAGGCGGUAUGUCAAGUCAAGGGUGAAAUCCCCGCGCUCAACGUGGGAACUGCCUUUGAAAAUGGCAAACUGGAGUGUGUGAGAGGAUAGUGGAAUUCCAGGUGUAGGAGUGAAAGCCGUAGAUAUCUGGAGGAACAUCAGUGGCGAAGGCGACUAUCUGGCACAUAACUGACGCUGAGGAGCGAAAGCGUGGGUAGCAAACAGGAUUAGAUACCCGAGUAGUC
rnacentral:rRNA from 1 species